CCCGUAUGGGCAGGGGUACCUUUACCUUUACCUUUAUCCUACAGAUAAAUGUAAACUUGGAAAUGAAAGUUUGGCAUGUUUUGCCAUUUUUUUAAACUUUAAUUGGAAACCUGACCUGAACAUUUUAUUUAAAGAGUGUUUUAUAUAUUUUUUUAUUUUUUAUUUAUAAUUGUAUAUUCAGUUUGUGUUGCACGCCCUGGGAUCUUAACGAUGGAUGGGUAAGAAGACUUAAUAAAAAUAAUAAUAUGGUAGGAAUUUUGUAAAAUUCCUUAGCUUUCUAGUCAGAUACUGCAAAAUGGUCAAAACAUCCUUAAAACUGCUUGAUGUAGGAGUUCCUAAUGGGUAGUUCUGAUAGCAUAUGAGUGGUGAUGGCAUAAGUCAGGUUUGGUAUAAUGGUAUGUAUGUGCUCCCAGUUAUUUCCUUUGCUGCAGCAACCAUGUAUUUACUGACCAACUAUUAUGCAGUACCUUAUGAAAAAUAAAAGACUGAACUGUUAGGAACUUUUUUAGUUUAGGGAAAAAAUAUACAAAAUUUGGGCUUCAAAUUUGGCUUUCCCACAAUAGAUGUUUAUAAAAUAUAUGGUUAGGGUAGGUAAACAAAUUAUUCCCUUUUGCAAAGCACGAAGACCUUGGAGUCAUCCACUAAAAGUAGAUUCAGGAUAGACAAGUACUCCACAUACCACAUAAUUAAGGAAUUCACUGCUGCAGGAUGUGAUGGUCACUGACUUAAAGGGGAAAUAAAUAAUUUCUCCAUGAAUCUUGUCUAUCAGUCAAUGUUGAUUAGCCAGCAAACUAAAUGGGAGUCUCCUUGGUCAGAAGUAGUGUACUGCUGAAUCCCAGCUGCUGGUGACAAGCACCUGAGGGCUGGGGCCAUACUUGAAGGUAUCUAAGAAACAUCUGAUUGACCACUGUUGGAAACAGUCUUUUGCUCUGAUCUGACAGUGCUGUUAAGUAAGAUCACAGGUUCCACAUAUUAUAAAGAAUUCGCUUUAUGAACCACUAUAGCAGAAGAAACUUGCACAACAAGGUUUGUAAUGGGUAGAUGUCAUCAUUUUUGAAUCUUUUUAAUUCACUGAUACUUCUGUGUGACUGCAGGGCCCAGGCUAGGAAAGAAGCUGCUGCCAAGAUAGAAAAAAGCUCAUGCGUUGUCUUCGUACUCCACACCUGACUAAAUACCCAGUGAGAACCACGUGCAUAGUACACACAAAUCAGCCCCAAGAUAAUCAGAUUCUGUUUAUUUUGUAUUGCUAGGAGCAUUCCACUCAUAUACUUUGAGUGCAGAAACAAAUACUUUGCAAGCUGAAAAUGAAUUACCAGAAGGAGAAGGAAGCAGCUGAAAUAAGGAGAUGGGUUGCCAGGAAGAGAGCAAUAAGCAGUGAAGCAAAAGCAUAAGUAAGACCUAGAGAGGGGCUGGGGAGUCCAUGUGUUCAGAAUUACGCAGGAGAAGCCAUCAUAAGAAGCAAGA